GAUGAACGCUGGCGGCGUGCCUAAUACAUGCAAGUCGAGCGAACGGACGAGAAGCUUGCUUCUCUGAUGUUAGCGGCGGACGGGUGAGUAACACGUGGAUAACCUACCUAUAAGACUGGGAUAACUUCGGGAAACCGUAGCUAAUACCGGAUAAUAUUUUGAACCGCAUGGUUCAAAAGUGAAAGACGGUCUUGCUGUCACUUAUAGAUGGAUCCGCGCUGCAUUAGCUAGUUGGUAAGGUAACGGCUUACCAAGGCAACGAUGCAUAGCCGACCUGCGAGGGGGAUCGGCCACCCUGGAACGUAGACACGGUCCAUACUACUACGGGAGGCAGCAGUAGGGAAUCGUACGCAAUGGGCGAAAGCCUGACGGAACAACGCCGCGUGAGUGAUGAAGGUCUUCGGAUCGUAAAAAUCUGUUAUUAGGGAAGAACAUAUGUGUAAGUAACUGUGCACAUCUUGACGGUACCUAAUCAGAAAGCCACGGCUAACUACGUG
rnacentral:rRNA from 1 species